rnacentral:rRNA from 1 species
UACGGAGGGUGCAAGCGUUAUCCGGAUUCACUGGGUUUAAAGGGUGCGUAGGUGGGUCUGUAAGUCAGUGGUGAAAUCUCCAAGCUUAACUUGGUAACUGCCGUUUAUACUAUAGAUCUUGAAUGUUGUGGAGGUGAGCGGAAUAUGUCAUGUAGCGGUGAAAUGCUUAGAUAUGACAUAGAACACCAAUUGCGAAGGCAGCUCACUACACAAAUAUUGACACUGAGGCACGAAAGCGUGGGGAUCAAACAGG